ACAGACAAAUACUUCCAGAGGUCAAUCACCUUAUCCGCCAACACAUGGUCAAAAUUCAGGUUCCUAUCCAAGUUCACCCCAACAGCAGCCGGGCGGCCCGCCACCGCCACCUCCGCAAUCAUCAAAUCAGGGUACGGCUACUGCACAAUACUCACCGUAUCCACAGCGGUAUCCCACACCGCCGGGGCCGGCGACAGGCCCGAAUCAUCGAACUGCCUACUCACAACAUCAGUAUCCUGAACCGAAUCGACCUUGGCCCGGCGGCACAUCGCCCGCACCUAGUCCUGGGCCUGGUGGCCAUCCGCAUCCCCCAGCAUCACCGCAUCAAUCACAGCAUGGCGGCCCACCGCCCAGCAGUAGUCCUGGACAUGCACCGAGUCCUUCGCCACAGCCAUCGCAGGCGUCACCAUCACCACAUCAG